rnacentral:tRNA from 4 species
CAUUAGAUGACUGAAAGC